rnacentral:snRNA from 1 species
UUCAUUGCCACAAAACUAGAAGGACUUCGAAAUUGGAAUGAUACAGAAAAGAUUAGCAUGGUCUAUCCGCAAGGAUGACACGUGAAUCGAGAAGGACGUCAAAGUGAA